rnacentral:rRNA from 1 species
GGUCAUUUAGAACUGGCAGACUAGACGUGUGUAGAGAGGAGGGGGAGUGGAAUUCCAGGUGUAGCGGUGAAAUGUCUGUAGAGAUUCUGGAGGAACAGCGACCAAUGGCGAAGGCAACUCCCUGGCCAAAGACUGACGCUCAUGUGCGAAAGUGUGGGUAGCGAACAGGAUUAGAUACCCUGGUAGUCCACACCGUAAACGCUGUCUACUAGCUGUUUGUGGAUUUAAUCCGUGAGUAGCGAAGCUAACGCGAUAAGUAGACCGCCUGGGGAGUACGGCCGCAAGGUUAAAACUCAAAUGAAUUGACGGGGGCCCGCACAAGCGGUGGAGCAUGUGGUUUAAUUCGAUGCAACGCGAAGAACCUUACCUACUCUUGACAUACUAGAAACUUUUCAGAGAUGAAUUGGUGCCUUCGGGAAUCUAGAUACAGGUGCUGCAUGUCUGUCAR